rnacentral:rRNA from 1 species
UGGCUAACUCCUACGGGAGGCAGCAGUGGGGAAUAUUGGACAAUGGGGGCAACCCUGAUCCAGCAAUGCCGCGUGAGUGAAGAAGGCGUUCGGGUUGUAAAGCUCUUUUGUCAGGGAAGAAACGGUAGUAGCUAAUAUCUAUUACUAAUGACGGUACCUGAAGAAUAAGCACCGGCUAACUACGUGCCAGCAGCCGCGGUAAUACGUAGGGUGCAAGUGUUAAUCGGAAUUACUGGGCGUAAAGCGUGCGCAGGCGGUUGUGUAAGUCAGAUGUGAAAUCCCCGGGCUCAACCUGGGAAUUGCAUUUGAGACUGCUCCGCUAGUGUGUGUGAGAGGGGGGUAGAAUUCCACGUGUAGCAGUGAAAUGCGUAGAUAUGUGGAGGAAUACCGAUGGCGAAGGCAGCCCCCUGGGAUAACACUGACGCUCAUGCACGAAAGCGUGGGGAACAAACAUGAUUAGAUACCCGUGUAGUCCAGCUGG